UUAAAGGGUGCGUAGNCGGAAUAAUAAGUCAGUGGUGAAAUCUUGCGGCUCAACCGUAAAAUUGCCAUUGAUACUGUUAUUCUUGAGUAUGGUUGAGGUAGGCGGAAUGAGUAAUGUACCGGUGAAAUGCUUAGAUAUUACUCAGAACACCGAUUGCGUAGGCAGCUUACCAAGCCAUCACUGACGCUGAGGCACGAAAGCGUGGGUAGCAAACAGGAUUAGAUACCCUGGUAGUCCACGCCGUAAACGUUGAUUACUCGUUGUUGGCAAUACACCGUCAGCGACUGAGCAAAAGCAUUAAGUAAUCCACCUGGGGAGUACGUCAGCAAUGAUGAAACUCAAAGGAAUUGACGGGGGCCCGCACAAGCGGAGGAACAUGUGGUUUAAUUCGAUGAUACGCGAGGAACCUUACCUGGGCUUAAAUGUUUAGUGAUCGACCGGGAGACCGGUUUUUCCUUCGGGACACUUUACAAGGUGCUGCAUGGUUGUCGUCAGCUCGUGCCGUGAGGUGUCGGGUUAAGUCCCAUAACGAGCGCAACCCCUAUCGCCAGUUGCCAGCACAUAAUGGUGGGAACUCUGGUGAAACUGCCGGUGCAAACCGUGAGGAAGGUGGGGAUGACGUCAAAUCAGCACGGCCCUUAUGUCCAGGGCUACACACGUGUUACAAUGGUCGGUACAACAGGAUGCCAAUCCGCAAGGAUGAGCUAAUCCCAAAAGCCGAUCUUAGUUCGGAUCGGAGUCUGCAAUUCGACUCCGUGAAGUUGGAUUCGCUAGUAAUCGCAGAUCAGCCAUGCUGCGGUGAUACGUUCCCGGGCCUUGUACACACCGCCCGUCAAGCCAUGGAAGCCGGGGGUGCCUGAAGUCCGUAACCGUAAGGAGCGGC
rnacentral:rRNA from 1 species